CUUUCAGUGUGUCAAUGUAAGUUGUUUCAGGCCUUUUUCUGUGUUCACGCUCAUCUAGAAUUUUGCUGCUCCCACUUACUGUGUGACUUCGAUCUCGUUACUUCUCUGAACUUCACCUCCUCUUCCGAAAAGUUGCUGUGAAAUAACACUAACUCACAGAGCUGUAACCGGAGUUAAAUGAGGUGAGGCACGCAGUGUCCCGUAUGGACCCGCCAGAGUAAACACUCAGUAAACAUUAGCUUUCUCCUCCUCCUCUGCCUCCGCCUCUCCUCCUCCUUCUUCUUCCUCCAUCGCUGUGACGACAAAGCCUUUCUCUGAUGGCUAGCCUUAUGCCUUAUGGAGCUGAGAGGGGACAAAAAGGAUAAUGACCAUAAAUGUCAUCUUUGCAGACCAUAGGCCCCCAUUUUUUCUAGCAUAUUGUGCCCCAGAUUUACAAAUGUAGAAGACCAAAUGUUUCCUCUUUCAAAAAACAUUUUGCAAUCACUACCAUGUUCACACAAGUUGGCUGGCUCUUAGGGGAAUGCGAAGGUGUUUAAGAUAAUAUCUCUCCCCUUGGAGUCUAAUAGUUAGUUUCCUAAAUUAUGUCCUAGGAGGACACCAGCUAUCAAGGCAUACUCUAAAACUAAGAUAUCAAACACUGCAUUAUUGACACAUAUAUCAGAAAACAAAUCAGUGGGACAUAUUGCAGAGUCCAGAAGCAAAUCCUUGUGAAUAUGUGAAUUUAGUUAGUAAAAAAAACACAUGGCAUUUUAAGUUAGUGGUAAAAGAAACAUCAAUAAACUGUAUUGACAGAGUUGGCCCUAUAGUUAGUAAAAGAAAUUAAAACCCUUUAUUUCAAACUAUGCACAAAAUAAACUUUAUAUUAGUUAAAGAGUUAAGGACAAAAAAAAAAUCCCCAAACAAAACCUAGUGUCAGAAGAAAACACAGAUUAAUCGGUUGUUUACUGCCUAUAGGAAACUGCCCCAAACCUUUGCACCUGACAGCUGCAGGCGUUUAUUACGGCUCGCAUAUCUACCGGCCAUCUAGGCAGCUCUGCUGCUCUGGGCCACGUGUGGCUGAUCUCAGCUGGGCUUUGUCAGGAGGCUGCGGUCAGCUGGCACGUGGGCUGCGGGCUGGCUGUCUAGGGUGUCCUUAUCCACGUGUCUGCAGGCCGGCAGACACUGACAGCGAGGGCAGCUGGGUCACAUGUCUCUUACCUUCCAGGACAGCCUGGAUUUUUCAAUGGCAGAGGCAGGGUCUCAAGACAGAGAGCCAAUGGUACCCAUCAUCCCUUCUGCGGCAGUCCAUUGGCCGGCGCAGGUCAGCAGAGGGGCAAUGGGUGCCACCUCUUGACGCUAAAGGGGCGAAGUUGCAUCACAAAGGGUGUGGGUAGGAGAGUGCAAAGCUGGGGCCAUUUUCUGCAAUCUGCCACACAGGAAGUUAUUUUUUAUUUUUAUGCUUUAAGGAUUGAUUUCACAAAACUUUAAAAUUUUCCACAGUAAAAGAUCUAUAAGCAAAGUUAAAAGAGAAAUGUCAAAUGGAGAAAACUAUACGCAGCCUAUAUGGCAGACAGAGGGUUCCCAUUAAACAAUAGAAAAGUCAAUA